UGGGGAAUUUUGCACUAUGGAGGAAACUCUGAUGCAGCGACGCCGCGUGAGUGAUGAAGAUCUUCGGAUUGUAAAACUCUGUCCUUAGUGAAGAUAAUGACAGUAACUAAGAAGCAAGCCCUGGCUAAAUACGUGCCAGCAGCCGCGGUAAUACGUAUGGGGCAAGCGUUGUCCGGAAUUAUUGGGCGUAAAGGGUACGUAGGCGGUUUAAUAAGUUCUAAUUAAAAGGCUAUGGCUCAACCAUAGUAUGGUUAGGAAACUGUUGAACUUGAGUAGAUGAGCAGAAAGUGGAAUUCCAUGUGUAGCGGUGAAAUGCGUAGAUAUAUGGAGGGACACCAAUGGCGAAGGCAACUUUCUGGAAUCAAACUGACGCUGAGGUACGAAGGCGUGGGGAGCAAACAGG
rnacentral:rRNA from 1 species